GGUCAAGCGAACAAGUGCAUGUGGUGGAUGCCUUGGCGAUCACAGGCGAUGAAGGACGCGGUAGCCUGCGAAAAGCUUCGGGGAGCUGGCAAACGAGCUUUGAUCCGAAGAUGUCC
rnacentral:rRNA from 1 species